rnacentral:rRNA from 1 species
UCAGUUCAGAUUGCAGGCUGCAACCCGCCUGCAUGAAGUCGGAAUUGCUAGUAAUCGUAGGUCAGCAUACUACGGUGAAUACGUUCCCGGGCCUUGUACACACCGCCCGUCAAACCAUGAGAGUUGGCAACACCCGAAGUCGGUAGUCUAACCGCAAGGAGGACGCCGCCGAAGGUGGGGUUGAUGAUUAGGGUUAAGUCGUAACAAGGUAUC